rnacentral:lncRNA from 1 species
AAAAGGAUACAAUUUUUAGGGAAUGGGAAAAAACAUGAAAGAAGACACGUUUCCACACAGCGGAAUAGAAAAUACAAACUCCUGGGUGCUUCUUCUAUCAGCCUUCGCCUUCUCAGCUUCGUCCACAUCUUAUAUUUGUUACAUCCGUUGACUUUCAAACUGCGCCUUAGAUGCAACCUCCCAAAUCGAUCAAUUUCUUGCUCAAUUUGCUUCAAUUCUUCUUACGAAAGUAAGCAAAUCAAGCUUUUUACCGACCCCCAAAGGAUAAUGGAUUGAAUUAGAUAAGCAUAUAUUUUAUUCAACACAUAAAUAUGGUUCAUAUAUAAUUGACUCGGGAUCAAUAGACGAAGGAAAGG